rnacentral:rRNA from 1 species
UACAGAGGUCUCAAGCGUUGUUCGGAUUCAUUGGGCGUAAAGGGCGCGUAGGUGGCGCUGUAAGUCGGGUGUGAAAUUUCGGAGCUUAACUCCGAAACUGCAUUCGAUACUGCCGUGCUUGAGGACUGGAGAGGAGACUGGAAUUUACGGUGUAGCGGUGAAAUGCGUAGAUAUCGUAAGGAAGACCAGUGGCGAAGGCGGGUCUCUGGACAGUUCCUGACGCUGAGGCACGAAGGCCAGGGGAGCAAACGGG